rnacentral:rRNA from 1 species
GACGAACGCUGGCGGCGUGCCUAAUACAUGCAAGUAGAACGCAGUAGAGAACGGGUGAGUAACGAGUAGGUACCUGCCUCAUAGCGGGGGAUAACUAUUGGAAACGAUAGAUAAUCACGCAUACAGUGAGAUGGACCUGCGUUGUAUGAGGUAGUUGGUGAGGUAAAGGCUCACCAAGGAGACGACACCUAGCCGACCUGUGAGGGGGAUCGGCCAAACUGGGACUGAUACACGGCCCAGUCUCCUACGGGAGGCAGCAGUAGGGAAUCGUCGGCUAUUGACGGAAGUCUGACCGAGCAACGCCGCGUGAGUGAAGAAGGUUUUCGGAUCGGAAAGCUCUGUUGUUAGAGAAGCGGUAUCUAACCAGAAAGGGACGGCUAACUACGUGCCAGCAGCCGCGGUAAUAC